ACAGGCUACCUAUGUAGGAUGAGAGAAAAAAGGAUUUCCUACCUUUCUGAGGCUUGUCGGGUCGGUCUCCUCGUCUCUCCGGGUCCUUCCGUCGAUUCGUCCAAAAAAACAACCGGCGUCUUCCGCUAUUUAGCACUUUAACCAAAAAAGUCAAAAUCAAGAGAGAAAAUGGCGCACCGUCCUUCUUCCCAGUCCUAUGUCCAUUAACUCCCACUCCCGAGGGCUCGGCUUUCCAUUGGUCGAACCGGCCGGGAGAAGACACGCACAAGGGAUCGGCGGAGACGAGAUGUAGCGGCUCUUCUGGGUAAUCACAGAUUCUCUCCCCUUUCGAGUUUCGGUACGAAACAUCCCCCAGCAAUCCGAACCGCAAAAGGGUGCGUGUAAGGCUCCUUCACAGAGAUGGAUUUCCUCAAGCGAGUGGGAAUCGUGGCAUCAACCGGCUCUUCUGGAGUGGUAGAUGGGAGCGUCAGUCCCGUAGCGGAAGUUCCGCAGGCUGGCAUGGACCUGGCGCCAGGAUCCGUUGACUGUCCUGACCGAGACCGGAACACCGCCCCAUAUAUCUGCAAAGGAGGAAAAUCAAGGAAACCCGAGAUAGAACAUGAGCAAUUCGGUGUACUAGGCCGUCGUGACGCUGCCUUCAACGCUAGUGUUGGACGUUGGUAGGCGUCCCGCCUUUACUGGACUCUAGAGUGGGGAGGUUACCGUCUGGCUAGCGGCUACUGCCGAGCCGCCGGUGCCGGUUUUACUAGGAAAAAGGUGAUUUUAAAAGGAAAAUCAUGAGGAUAAGAGGAAGGUAGACUUCAUCACAGAGAGAAACGGCAAAAAAAGGUUGAUUGGUGAAUUCUUCAUCUUAUGAUCAUCUAGAUUUGAAGUUUUGUUAAAUAAAAAUAAAUUGUUGGAAUA